CCCGCCCAGCCACCUGUCAUCCACGACCGUACUCCUCAAGCCAUUCUUGUCUCUACAGGUAGGUGAGCUCUUUCCUCCUCCCCCCUCUCACUUUUGAAUUUAUGCUGGUAGAUGUGUUUGCUGUGGGUUCUGCUGCUGCCAGGUUUGGCUGCUGCUUGGCCUAACUCUACUUGUGCUGCUGCUAUGUGCUACUAUAUGUUGUUGGUUGCCUCCUUGGUUAUUUGUGAAUCUGAAAACACUUUGUGAGAAGCACGGAUUGAAGAGAAGGCUAUGAGCCAAUGAGAAGAGCUUCAUUUUCAGUUUUUGUUAAGAAUUGAUGAAGGACGUGUCAUAUGUUCAGUUGCUAACGUUCUCUCUAUGAUGUAUGCACUUGUUGUUCAUUGCAUUGGAGGGAGAGGAAAACUCUUUGUGAGAAGCAAGGAUUGAAGAGAAGGCUAUGAGCCAGUGAGAAAACCUGAACUUUAGUUUUUUAUUUAAGAAUUGAUGAAGGAUAUGUCAUAUGUUCAGUUACUUACAUAUUCUCUAUGGUGUAUGUACCUGUUGUUCAUUGCAUUCGAGGGAGAGGACAACAAGAGUAAGAAAGUCUUGUGGCGUGAAGGCAGUAGCACGCAGCGCCAAGUCAAGCGCAUUGGCCUCGAUGGCAAGAGACCAGUACCAUCAGGUUCGCUUGACUGCUUGCUAGCCCGGCAUUGAACAAUACCCUUAAUAAAGCUACAUGGUGUACGCUAAUUGUCAUAUUUUGACCGACAAAUCUGUUUGAAUAGAUUAUAUAAGAUUGAUGUGAUUAUCGGAUGAUUGCAGUCUACCCCAGGAGUACACGAGAAAGAAGUGCUACUGCUACAUUACUGCUGCUUGCCAAGGGAAAAGAGAGUUCCAUUGUAAAAUAAGAUGCCAGAUUUGCAUAGAUCAAUGAGGAUUCGUGCGGCAGGGAGGGGACUGGUGAUAGGAAACAUGGGUCCAAGAAGAAAUCAAAGAGCAUGGUAUUGUUCAAUCCAUCAGUAGCCAGCGGAUGUCGUGCUGUGAUUAAGGUUUGCCACCUUCCUCUGCUACAUCGCUUAGUUUUAUGGGCCAUUCUUAGAAUACUAUGUGCUUGCUCUUUUUGGCUGUGGCAUGUGAAUAUGAUGCUUACCAACAUUAUUGUAGAAUUUGUUUCUCGGUGAUGUAAAACUUAUAGCUAUUAAAGGAAGCCCUUGGUUUGUGUUAGGUACUUGUGACAUUUGGUGGAACUGUAUGACAAAUAGUGAAAGAAUACAAAUUACCAAUGGUGUAGUUACAUAGAGAGAAGAUACUCACAUAGCAACUGUAGCAGCUCCACCCAUAGGCCGAGCUGGCCCCUCUGCAUAAACCUGAACAUAAUAUGGGACAUCAAAUGAGUGUUGCACGGAGACAAAAGGAAGAGAAACUGAAUCCACUUAGUGCAACAGUUAGAUGGCCAUAUUGGGUGACU